UGGGGAAUAUUGCGCAAUGGGGGAAACCCUGACGCAGCGACGCCGCGUGCGGGAUGAAGGCCUUCGGGUUGUAAACCGCUUUUGAUUGGGAGCAAGCUUUCGGGUGAGUGUACCUUUCGAAUAAGCGCCGGCUAACUACGUGCCAGCAGCCGCGGUAAUACGUAGGGCGCAAGCGUUAUCCGGAAUUAUUGGGCGUAAAGAGCUUGUAGGCGGUUCGUCGCGUCUGGUGUGAAAGCCCAUCGCUUAACGGUGGGUUUGCGCCGGGUACGGGCGGGCUAGAGUGCAGUAGGGGAGACUGGAAUUCCCGGUGUAACGGUGGAAUGUGUAGAUAUCGAGAAGAACACCAAUGGCGAAGGCAGGUCUCUGGGCUGUUACUGACGCUGGGAAGCGAAAGCGUGGGGAGCGAACAGG
rnacentral:rRNA from 1 species